AGUGAGAAAGAAAAAGGGAGAGAAAGAGGGACUACCAAUAUUGGUUGCCCAACUAAAAGCGGGUGCAAAUACAUAAGGUACAUAAAAGACCGCCCUCAACAAUUACUGAAUUGGGGUAAAGGACAGGUCUCCACAUCAAAAUCUAACUAGGGGCCACUACUACAUAAUGACCAAAGCAAGCAAAAGCAUGAGUCAUCAGGCUCAGAAGUCCCAUGCAUACAAAAAGUUGAGACUACAAAGGGGCCACGCCUCUCCACCACAAGCUUGAGCACGAAAUCCAUCCCUGCAAAAUGAACAAAAUAAUGAUUAAAAAAUAAAUAGAAAAAAUAUCUUUGUACCCUUAUAUUUAGAUUUCAUUUUACAAUAAAUCCAAGAUUUUAAAAGAGACCUUGAAGCAAAAAUAUUGUAGAUUUUAUUUUUUCUAAUCCCUUGUGUUAAUUCAAACUUGCUUUUCAAGUCUAACAAAUCUUAAAAGGCAUGUCUUUCAAAACUUCUAUAUAAAGAAGUUUAAAAAAAAAAAAUUUUAGAAAAAAAAAACUUCAUAUAUAUGUGGGAUGUUUUUAUUGGGAGAGGUGUUUAAAAAAACAUGACAGGAGAAAUAGACGUACUUGAAGAGAUACGAGAGGAUAGAGAGACAUAGGAAGAGAGAAAAAAGGUUGAGCCAAAUAAGUACAAAGGGAAAAAGGAUUGGAUUAAAAAAAAACAUAUCUUUUUCACAUAUAUUAAGAUAAAAAAAAUAUAUUUAAAGUGGCAAGGGUCGAAAGAUAAAUCUUGAAAUUCUAGAUUUAUCACAAAAUGAAAUCUAAAAAAUAAAUAAUAUUAAGACAUUUUUUCUACAAAAUAUAAAAUAUAAAAAAAAUUUAAUGUUCAUAUAUUUCAUGUCAAGUGAUUAACAACACAGACUCAAGCUCCGACUCGCAGGGGCCUGACCUCAACCUAAUAUCGAUACAGCUGAUAAUGAAAUAUCAAAAUUAUAUAAGAAUCUUCGACAGUCAGACUCGCUGGACUUUUAGGGUUAGUCAUCGACUCUCGUGAUUUUUUUGGGGUUAAUCGGGUCCCGAAAUCUGAGCCCGAAUUGUUAAACAUUGGCACUGAAAUAUAUCGUACAGACCCAGAAAAAUAAGGACUCCCUGGAUUGUAUUGCAUUGUAAAAGUGAAUGUGUAAAGGACAUGGUGUCUAUUCAUACCAUCAUAAGAAUUUAUUUUUGAGGUGGAUUUUUGGACAUAAUACUUAAAAGAAAUAUAAUCUCUAACAUGCAGACCAUAUGUAUAUUAAAAUAAGUAUAUAUUAAAAAUUGGAAAUAAAAAUUUCCCUAAAAAAAUAUUUGGACUUUCACCAGUUUUCAGACGAACUACCCAUUUGCAUCCAUUUUGAAAUAUGCAAAACUGCGUACCCAUGAAACAAUUUUCCAUGUAUGAAAGCAAAUGCAUAAGGUUUCUCUCUUAAAAUAAAAAAAAAAGAAGUAAAUGCAUAAUCCGAUAGAAAGCUAUAGUAAAUAAAUAAUUUGAGUGGUAGUGGACAAAGAUAACGUAAAGAUGCUUCAUAUUUCUUAGAUUAUGUAGAGAAAAAGUAACCAACCUCACACAUAGAUGAACAGAAUAAUAAAUUAC
rnacentral:lncRNA from 1 species